AUUAAACGCUGGCGGCAUGCUUUACACAUGCAAGUCGAACGGCAGCGCGGGCUUCGGCCUGGCGGCGAGUGGCGAACGGGUGAGUAAUGCAUCGGAACGUGCCCAGUAGUGGGGGAUAGCCCGGCGAAAGCCGGAUUAAUACCGCAUACGACCUGAGGGUGAAAGCGGGUGACCGAAAGGCCUCGCGCUAUUGUAGCGGCCGAUGUCGGAUUAGCUAGUUGGUGGGGUAAAGGCUUACCAAGGCGACGAUCCGUAGCUGGUCUGAGAGGACGACCCGCCACACUGGGACUGAGACACGGCCCAGACUCCUACGGGAGGCAGCAGUGGGGAAUUUUGGACAAUGGGGGCAACCCUGAUCCAGCCAUGCCGCGUGCGGGAAGAAGGCCUUCGGGUUGUAAACCGCUUUUGUUCGGGAAGAAAUCCUCUGGGCUAAUACCCCGGGGGGAUGACGGUACCGGAAGAAUAAGCACCGGCUAACUACGUG
rnacentral:rRNA from 1 species